GCAUUGCUUCAGGCUGAUCUGGCACCCCGUCUAUAACCAGAAAGGAAAAAGUUAAUGAGAGAAGCAGCAUAGCCCAGUGGUUAAGUGUGCAAGCUCGGAAGUGACACAGCUGGGUUCCAAUCCUAAAUUCUGCCUUUUGCCAGCUCUGCAUAAACUGGUGGCAAAUUACUUCACUUCUGCAAGCCUCCUGUGCCAUGCCUACAAAAACAGGAUAAGGAGACGUUUAUGGAGGUGACUUGCCCAAGGUUUUCCAAGCUGCCGUUGCUUUGGUGAUACUUCCUGGGAGAUUUCAACAGGGCUCCUCCUGCCUCCUGCAGCUGGAAAUGAUGAUCUUCAGACUUCAAAUUCUCCUUACUCUCCUCUAGUCCUUUGAAGGUGAAGCCAGCUUCCAUCUCAGAAGGCAGCUCUAUGUAGAGAUCCACACGGCAAGGACUGUGGGCUGUGAUCUGCUAAAAUCCACCUGAGUGACCUUGGACAUUGACCCCCCACAAGUUGAGUCUUCAGGUGAAACUGCAGC